GUCCGCACUGUAAACGAUGAUUACUCGUUGCUGGGGAGCAAUUUCCAGUGACCAAGCGAAAGCGAUAAGUAAUCCACCUGGGGAGUACGCCGGCAACGGUGAAACUCAAAGGAAUUGACGGGGCCCGCACAAGCGGAGGAGCAUGUGGUUUAAUUCGAUGAUACGCGAGGAACCUUACCAGGGCUUGAAAGUUAGGGAAUACUCCUGAAAGGGAGUAGUCAGCAAAUGACCCGAAACUAGGUGCUGCAUGGCUGUCGU
rnacentral:rRNA from 1 species